rnacentral:misc_RNA from 1 species
GAUGAAGAACGCAGUGAAAUGCGAUAAGUAAUGUGAAUUGCAGAAUUCAGUGAAUCAUCGAAUCUUUGAACGCACAUUGCGCCCGCCAGUAUUCUGGCGAGCAUGCCUGUUCGAGCGUCAUUUCAACCAUCAAGCCCCAGGCUUGUGUUGGAGCCCUGCGGCUGCCGCAGCCUCCCAAAACCAGUGGCGGGCUCGCUAUCACACCGAGUGCAGUAGUUUACUCUUCGCUCAGGGCGUGUGGCGGGUGCUAGCCGUGAAACCCCCAACUUCUCAAGGUUGACCUCGGAUCAGGUAGGAAUACCCGCUGAACUUAAGCAUAUCAUUAAGCGGAGGA